ACGCCGCGUGAGUGAAGACGGCCUUCGGGUUGUAAAGCUCUGUGACGCGGGACGAGGGCCCCUCCUCGGGAGGGGCGGGACGGUACCGCGAGAGGAAGCCCCUGCUAACUACGUGCCAGCAGCCGCGGUAAGACGUAGGGGGCGAGCGUUGUCCGGAAUUACUGGGCGUAAAGGGCGUGUAGGCGGUGCCGUGCGUAGCGGUUUUAAGCCCGCGGCUUCACCGCGGGAGGGCGGCUAAACGGCGGCGCUAGAGGGCAGGAGAGGUGCGUGGAAUUCCCGGUGGAGCGGUGAAAUGCGUAGAGAUCGGGAAGAACACCAGUGGCGAAGGCGGCGCACUGGCCUGGCCCUGACGCUGAGGCGCGAUAGCGUGGGGAGCAAACGGGAUUAGAUACCCCGGUAGUCCACGCCGUAAACGAUGGGUACUAGGUGUCGUGGGGGUGGCCCUGCGGUGCCGGAGCUAACGCACUAAGUACCCCGCCUGGGGAGUACGGCCCGCAAGGUUGAAACUCAAAGGAAUUGACGGGGGCCCGCACAAGCAGUGGAGCAUGUGGUUUAAUUCGACGCAACGCGCAGAACCUUACCAGGGCACGACGGUCGUGAGCGGCGGGAAACCGCCGGGCGUCCUUCGGGACGAGCGACUGCAGGUGCUGCAUGGUUGUCGUCAGCUCGUGUCGUGAGAUGUUGGGUUAAGUCCCGCAACGAGCGCAACCCUCGUCGCGUGUUGCCAGCGGUUCGGCCGGGCACUCACGCGAGACAGCCGGGGACGACCCGGAGGAAGGUGGGGAUGACGUCAAAUCCGCAUGGCCUUGAUGUCCUGGGCGACACACGUGCUACAAUGGCCGCGACAACGGGCAGCCACCGCGCGAGCGGGCGCGAAUCCCUGAAACGCGGUCGUAGUUCGGAUUGCAGGCUGCAACCCGCCUGCAUGAAGCCGGAAUUGCUAGUAAUCGCGGAUCAGCAUGCCGCGGUGAAUUCGUUCCCGGGCCUUGUACACACCGCCCGUCACACCACGAAAGCGGCUCACACCCGAAGCCGGGCCAGCCGACCGCGAGGCGGCCGCCGUCGACGGUGGGGGGCGUGAUUGGGGUGAAGUCGUAACAAGGUAGCCGU
rnacentral:rRNA from 1 species